rnacentral:sRNA from 1 species
AGGUGCUGCGCUGGGCGCCGCGGGAUGCCGAGCUGAUCGAGCCCUGGAGGCCCAGCCUGGGCGAGCUGCUGGCCAGGCCCGAGGCUCUGACGCCCAGCAACCUAUUCCUGCUUGCAGUCCUCGGGGCCCUCGCAUCAGCGAGUGCGACAGUGUUGGCGUGGAUGUUCUUUCGAUGGUACUGCAGUGGCAACUAACAAAGAUGGAGUCUCAUUCUGUCACCCAGGCUGGAGUGCAGUGGCAUGAUCUCAGCCCACUGCAACCUCUGCCUCCCAGGUUCUAGUGAUUGUCCUGCCUCAGCCUCCUGAGUAGCUGGGAUUACAGGCACAUGCCACCAUGCCUGGCUAAUUUUUUUGUAUUUUUACUAGAGAUGGGGUUUCGCCAUGUUGGCCACACUGGUCUCAAACUCGUGACCUCAAGUGGUUUCCCAGCCUCGGCCUCCCAAAGUGCUGGGAUUACAGGUGUGAGCCACCGUGCCCAGUCUAAUUGUACAGUUUGACUGAGUGAACUCUGUGUGAGAUAAAUUGGAGACAAAUAUGGACAACUCUCCCAAGGA